rnacentral:rRNA from 2 species
GAGCGGGGGGGUUGUCCGUAGCAACACA